AUGGCCGCCGCCGCCGCCCGCACCGGCCUCCCACCGGCGGAUCACGAUCCGCUCGAGGGGGCAGAAUCGGAGUCGGAGGAGGAGGUGGAGAGCGGCGAGGAGCGAGGCGGUGAUGGGUCGGAGGCUGAGACCCUCGCCGACCUCUACGGCCCCGACGCGGGGUCCGACGAGGACCCCUCCUUCGACCCCGCCGCCGACAAGCGGGCGGUGGGGGAGGCCGCGCUGUGGUCCGGGAUGGCCCGGCUGUCCAUCUCCGCGCGCAAGGGCAGGAAAGGACCCGUGGCGCUAGAGAUGGGAAAUGAGGAUAUUGAUCUUUUGGCGAUGGUGGACAAGCUGAUGCACGAUGGCCAGUUGGAGAAAUUGAAGGUUUAUGAAUGCAAAGCAUACCUGAGGAUUCACAAGUUGAGAUUGGGAGGCAAGAAAGAAGAGCUUCUAAAUCGUAUCAGGGAUCACAUUGAGGUCAAAUUAUUUGGAGAUGUGAAGUAUCCAGUGUCAAGCUUUGUUCUGAACUGUAAAGGUGAUGCAUGCAAAGGUGAUGUGGUGAUGUUUGAGCAAAAUAUUUACAGAAGGAAAAAGGGAGAUCCUCGUGGAAUCAAGGGUCGUCUAUGCGGUCAGAGGACAAAUGCUGGUAGGAUAAUCAAAGAAAGCUAUGGCACUGCAAAGCAACAGCAUACAUUCACUGUUGAGAUUUUCUGGAGUAAAGGGUACAAACCAUGGCCUCCCCUUCAUCCUCUCCUCAUAAAGGGAAGAAAUCUUUACAAGGACAAGACCAUGAGACAGCCAUGGCCUGAUGAAAAGGAAAGAAGCAGAGUCCUAGAAGAAAAACAUGCAAGAGGGUUCCAGGCACGUAAGUCAAGGGAGGUCAGGAUUCAUGAGAAAGAGAUUGACAAGAUGAGGAGAUUUAAUAGGCUUAAAGACAACAAGAGCAAAGGGAAAGAGAACAUGAAUCAAAUAUCAUCUCAAACCGUUGUUCCACAACAGAAGGUUGUGUCCACGGAUACUGUUGAUCAAAGAUUUGACAAAGGGAGGACAGAUUCCCUCCCACAAGGUGAACCUGGGAACGCAAGGCAGCAGCAGAUAUCUUCAAAACAAAAUCCUGCAAUUCAUUUGUUCCAUCAGCAGUUCCUCUAUCAGGGUCCUUCGGUCCAACAUGGCAAACCAGAGAAAACAAGGCAGCAGCAAAUACUGUCAAGGCCCACCACUUCAGAGCAAAUUUUCAAGCACCCAACGCAACACGAUAAUCAUAGGCCUACUCCUGCACAGCAAAUGUUCAAGAACCCACAGGAACACAAUAAUCACCGGCAGCAGCAAAAUAAAGUGCUUCCGCAGGAGGGUACAACAAAAACUGUCAGCAUACUUGGUCGGGCCCCUUGCCUUCAUUAUGGAGGAUCAGGGAAUGCAGUUCAACAGCAGAAAGUAUCAAAGCCAACUCCUAUGGAGCAGAUCAGAAACCAGUCACAGCCCCUCAAACGUGAGCACCACAAUUUAGUGCUUCCACAGGAGGAUGCAAAGAAGGGAACCAACAGAGUACAUUCCAUUGAUCACGGCAAGGCCCCUUGCCUUCAGUAUGCGGGACCAGGGAACGCAAUGCAGCAGCAAUCAUCAAGGCCAGCACUUCCACAGCAGAUCAAAAAUCCACCACAGCCCCCCAAACAUCAACACACUGAAGUGCUUCGGCAGGAGGAUGGAAAUAGAACUUACAGAGUAGAGCCCGUUGAUCGUCGGAAUAACAAUUACCAUAACACAACGUAUGACGAAUCAGCAUUCCAGCGUCGUGGGACUCAGGAUGCAAAGACACACCAGCAUGGCUCCAGCGGCCAGCCACAUGCUCACGGUGAUAGCCAAUGGCAUCAACCUCUCAGGCCUAGAAUUCAGGAUUUCUCUUCAAGAAACCAAGAAGGGGAUUAUCGCGAUCAUAGGCAAACGACUCGAGAGCAGUACAAUCCUCAAGAGAGGCAUCAUCAUAAUCAGCAUGGUCGCGGGCAAAUGAUUCAGGAGCAGUAUCAGCCCCAAAAGAUCCAUCAUCAGAAUGAGCACGAUAGCUGGAGAAUGAACCAGAACCAGUAUCAUCCCCAGGAGAACCAUCAUCAGAAUGGGCACGAUAGCUGGAGAAUGAACCACAACCAGUAUCAUCCCCAGGAGAACCAUCAUCAGAAUUACCGGUACACCCAGCAGUUUCCAGCACCGAAGAUGUGCCGCUACUACCAACAAGGGUUGCGGUGCCCCUAUGAGGGAAACUGCAAGUUUUCCCAUGGCAGCUGA
rnacentral:rRNA from 1 species